CUCGCCGUCUUCACGGACGCAGCGAAUGUCCCGCGCGUGGCGCAGAGGUGCCCAGCUGGCGUAACCAACUCCCACCUCGACCGCAUAUAAGUCGGCAUGUGCAUCCAAGGGCUACGACUCCAGCACUGUUGAGACUGGGUGAGGAAGAAAGUUAGAUCCCGCCAUUACCGUGAGAGGGGUGAGCGCAACCGAAGUCGCUCCUUGGCUCUACCGAUGUUUGGUGGCUUUGGGUGAUCGCCGGAGGGCCUGGAUCGUGUUCGAGAGUGGCUGGGCGCGGGAGCUCUCUAGGCUGGAGCAAUUGCUCGACGGAGCAAUUCCGCCGCCGCAGACCCGCCUCUAACCGUGGUUGAGCUUCUGCGCGCACAGUUCACGCACACCUGUUGAUUGCGUUCGCACCCGGGUCCCUAAAACCCAGGUGUGACAUGAUAAGACCCUGAAGCUGUUCUAAUGGAAUGCAGCGUCAGAUCCCAUAGACCUUUGGAUUAAGGUUUGAAUAAGCACAAGAAGGGAGAAAUAUCCCUUUUAUCCCCUAAUUGCAUGGAAAACAGGGCCAAUCACUUGGUAACGGUGCCAAAGAAUCUCCGAAGCCCUUGGUUGUAGGUUUUAUUUUGAUGAAGUAAAGAUGAAGGUAUGUGAAACCUUUGUUUUUGACUAGGUAAAACAUAUAUCUUAUUUUUACUAGCAUGUGUGCUGAAAUCGAGGGCUAAAAGGGCUUCUUCAUUGUAUUAAAAUGUUUUAACCUUUGGUUUAUGGCCAAGAAUAUAACAAUUUUAUCA